rnacentral:rRNA from 1 species
AGGACGAACGCUGGCGGCGUGCUUAACACAUGCAAGUCGAGCGGAAAGGCCCUUCGGGGUACUCGAGCGGCGAACGGGUGAGUAACACGUGAGCAACCUGCCCUUAGCUUCGGGAUAGCUCCGGGAAACCGGAAUUAAUACCGAAUAUGACUGCGGCUGACAUCAGCCACGGUGGAAAGUUUUUCGGCUAGGGAUGGACUCGCGGCCUAUCAGCUAGUUGGUGAGGUAACGACCCACCAAGGCGACGACGGGUA